GAGUCCGGGUGGCCCCCUCGGCGCCGCUGUCAGGUUCCUCUAGAUUCAAGUUCUACAGGCUCCGGGUUCCACCGCUCCCGGAUUCCAUCGCCCCCAGGUUCCGUUGCCUUCAGUUUCCUAGGAUCCUAGGUUCCGCACUCUCCAGAGUUCCGCCGCUUAGGCGGUUGUGCUAAUCUGCGUCAGCUGGGGCUGUAUUUGGAAGAAGAGGCGCUGCCUCCAGUCAAGUCUGUUUUUUUCAGAGGAAGUUAUUGUCCCAAAGUUGUGUGUCAUGCCCGAAGUGUCUGGGAUCCCCGAGUGCCUGUGGUGCCCAAGAGCUAUGAAUCUGCUAUCAUCAACACAGAGGGUACCUUCUGAAUGGGCUAUGUCUACAGUGAUGCUGCAAAUGGAAGCUAACCCUAGGAUGACUGGCCUCUGACACUUGAGCCAUCCCAUCAUCUGUCAUGGGUUGACCCAUCCAUCCCCUCAAUGAGCCUGACCUUCAGGACCACUGACAGAGGAGCAGUCAAUAGAAAUUAAUUGUUAAAUACCCAGAAAAUCUGAAAUGGUAUUUAAUAUGCAGUUCAUCAAGAGCAAAAGUUCCUUAAAUCUUCAUCUAGAAAAGUUAUUUAUAAGGGAUGAAUAUGUUGUAUGAAUAUGUUGUAUGCAAAUAUUAUAUUCAAGGGCAAGACCAUGAAAACAGUUUAAGAAUCCGACAGGGAAUUAGAUAAAGACAUCGGAGUGCACUUGUCAAAAUACAGCUAUCAAGAAUGAUGAUGUUGAAAAAUAGUUU
rnacentral:lncRNA from 10 species